CCUACGGGAGGCAGCAGUGGGGGAUAUUGCACAAUGGGGGAAACCCUGAUGCAGCGACGCCGCGUGGGUGAAGAAGCGCCUCGGCGCGUAAAGCCCUGUCAGCAGGGAAGAAAAUGACGGUACCUGAAGAAGAAGCCCCGGCUAACUACGUGCCAGCAGCCGUGGUAAUACGUAGGGGGCAAGCGUUAUCCGGAUUUACUGGGUGUAAAGGGGGAGCAGACGGCGAUGCAAGCCAGGAGUGAAAGCCCGGGGCCCAACCCCGGGACUGCUCUUGGAACUGCGUGGCUAGAGUGCAGGAGGGGCAGGCGGAAUGCGUGGUGUAGCGGUGAAAUGCGUAGAUAUCAGGAGGAACACCGGUGGCGAAGGCGGCCUGCUGGACUGCAACUGACGUUGAGGCCCGAAAGCGUGGGGAGCAAACAGGAUUAGAUACCCUGGUAGUC
rnacentral:rRNA from 1 species